UAUUCCACAAAAUAGAAACAGAAGGUACUC
rnacentral:piRNA from 1 species